GCUUAAUCUUUUGGAGCGCAGUUUUCUCAUUGUUGUUCUUUGUUUCUAAAAUGUAUUGCAUUCUUGCAUGUAUGGACAAACAAAGCCAGUUUAUGCAUAUCGUUUGAUGGCACAUGGAACUAUGGAAGAAAAAAUAUAUAAACGGCAGUUGACAAAGGAGGGGCUUGCUGCAAAGGGUGGUUGAUAGGCAACAAAUACAUCAAACCAUUUCUAAUUAAGGUCCUGCAUCUCUUGGAUUUGUAUUUUAAUUGAUGGGACAUAAUUAUGAUGAUUAUUUGUCUAGUUUUCAGGGCAAAUGAUAUUCUUUACAUUACCUUAUUUCAUCAUUAGUUGACGUAAUUUUGACUAUUUACUAUAUAUUUAGAUCAGUUUCUUAAUCAGGCCUUCUGAGCAUCCAAACACGAAUCGAUAUUUAGUCCAAUUUCAUAUUCAGCCCAA